UUGUAUAGGAAAUAAAACAGGGUACUAUUAUUUUUUUAAGUAAUCUCUACUUAAAUCUCUACUUAAAUCUCACCCAAUGUGGGUGAGAUAGAGAGUUACAUGUUCUAUUGACUGAGCCAGCCAGGUGCCUCAAACAGGGUACUGAUUUUAAAAAGUGCUAGGAGGGAGGUUGCCAAAAAAGACUUCUCAGAGGAGGGCAGGUUUGAGUUGAAACCCUGACAAGAAGAAGCUGCACAUGUGAAUAUCUGAGAGACGAAUGUCCCAAGCAGAGGAAACAAGUGCCAAGGCCCUGGGGCAGGAAGAAACUUGGUAAAUUCAAGGAAUAGAAGAAAGACUAAUGUGGCAUGAAUCCAUCAAGUGGUUGGAGAAUGGACAAAGUCAAGGAGGAAGAGUAGGAAAUGACCAGAUCACUUAGGACCUUGUAGCUUAUGUUCAGAGUUUGGAAUUUAUCCUAAAAUUAAAGAGAAGUCACUGGAAGAUUUUAAGUAGGAAGAGGUCUCAUAAAGACCAAUCUGGCUACAGUGUUGGAAAAUGGGUUGAAGAGGGAAAGAGUAGUUAGGGGGUCAGUGUAGUAGUUCAGAUAAGAGAUAAACAGGAACCAAGAUGGAGCAGUGAAGAUGAAGAGAAAUAGUUUGAUUUGGUAUGUGUUUUGGAGGGAGAAGUCUACAAGGGCUUAGGAUGAAUGGAUGGAUGUAGGAUAUGAAGGAAAGAUAAGCAUUAUGGAUAAAUUCUAGGCAUUUGGCUUGAUAUGGUGGUACUGUUUAGAUAAAACUAAAUCCUAGGACAGAAGCAGUCUAAUGCAAUGGCAAUUAAGAGCCUGUUUUGUCAUGGAUAGUGUAGUAAUUAUAUAAAAAUAUAAUGUGAUGCCACUGUCAUAAAAAAAUGCAUAUUAGACUUCUAAAUGGAGGUGUUAAGUUGCAGUUAAGACAAUUAAGUCAGCCACAGUUCUUGAGCACCCAUUCGUGCAUUGUACUAAGAGAGACCAAAGAGAACAACACAGUACCUCUGCCCUCAGCAGCUUCCUGUCUACUGUGAGAUUCAGAUAACUAGGUAAGUUGACUUGGGAAGUUAACAUGGUAUAUUCAUGGAUUUAACUACUGGUAAGCAGCCCUGAAAUCCUCAUGUUUUAUAGGAAUGGACCAGAGAGGAAACAUCUCCUUUCCAGGGCUGCUUUAUAGCUAUGGCUGACUUUGGGUCCCAGGACUGCAGGCCUGAGCUGCAGUAGGGAGUCCCUCAUGUUGGCUUUGCCAAGGAGCCACCUGCUUCAGAUCUCAUCCGUAUCUUGGCAGUGUUUCUGGUUUUAAGGUUUCCACUGAGCUCAGAUGGAUUUCUAUCUAAGGUCCAGGCAGUUAUUUGUGUUAUCCCUGUGGUGCAAUCAAGGAGAAGCGGGAAAGAGAGAAUGCCCUUGAAACUGACAAACAAGUUCUGAGAAGCUCGGAGAGCAGAGCAGAGUUGAGCAGAUUUUCACAGGUUGAGAUGGUCAGGCACCAUCGUGGUGGACGUAAAUGCUCAACCAAACUCCAGCUGAAGGAGAGUAGGAUGUAUUGCGGUGAUGGUAUAGUCUUUGUCAAAUUAGAAGAAAACAUUACUACAAAUAUAAUCCUAGGGCAAAACUGUUAGACUUAAAAAACCCUUGUUUGAUUCAGCUCUUUGCAAAAUAUUAAGGUGACUUUUAAAAUUAUCCUUGUAUCAGAGAAGUUGUAAGGAGAGAAUUGGUGAGACCGGACAUAAUCAAGAUGAAGGUCUUCGGGAAGGGCAUUGGCCAGCUGUCACUUACACUGCAGAGUUCAAGGCCUAUGGUUUUGGAAAGCCCAGAAACAACUGCAGUUGUUUGUUUUCGAAUACCCUAGUCAACUUGCUCAAGGACGGAUUACUUAAACUAUUUGUUAUUUUCUAACUAAUCAAUUUAUUUGGAAAGUGUAAAGUAUGAUUCAUCUUGUCCACUGCAGUUACCUUCUGUCCUGUCUCUCCCCUCUCCUAUAAAUCUUGUCUUUGCCUUUGUCUGAUGACCACAGACUAUGGAUGGUGUUUCCCUCGUAUGAAUGAAUUGCAUGCAGAUAACUACGUCUCUAAAUUUUUCCUUGGCACAUAUCAUGUUCCAAGGGCCUCAUGAAACAAGUUGGAAAGUGGUGCUUCAUCCCCUGUUCUCUGUAGAGUGUGUAUAAGAGAGGGAAUAGGAAGACCUGAGAAGGAGGAGCAAGUUGGGGGAACAGCAGGUCAGCUCUUUGGAAGAAGUAAUGGAAAAUUGGUCCAUAGCCACUUUGUGAGAAAGAAGUCACAUUAGAGGUUGAGAGUCGACUACCACAUGGAAGAGACAAGUGAGAUCAUCUACACUACAAGAUAGUAAAUAAGACAGUGUCCCUUCUCUCGGGGCCACAGUGGGACCUUCGUGUCUUUAUGCCAAAA